CAGCACCUCAAGUGGUCAGGAUGAUUAUGGGGCCUAAAGCAUCCGUAGCCGGCGCUGUAAGUUGUCGGUUAAAUCUGUACGCUCAACGUACAGGCUGCCGGGAAUACUGCAGCGCUAGGGAGUGGGAGAGGUAGACGGUACUCGGUAGGAAGGGGUAAAAUCCUUUGAUCUAUUGAUGACCACCUGUGGCGAAGGCGGUCUACCAGAACACGUCCGACGGUGAGGGAUGAAAGCUGGGGGAGCAAACCGGAUUAGAUCCCCGAGUAGUCC
rnacentral:rRNA from 1 species